rnacentral:misc_RNA from 1 species
GAUGAAGAACGUAGCGAAAUGCGAUAAGUAAUGUGAAUUGCAGAAUUCAGUGAAUCAUCGGAUCUUUGAACGCACCUUGCGCCCUUUGGCCAUUCCGAAGGGCACGCCUGUUUGAGUAUCAUGAACACCUCAACUCUUUAUGGUUUUCCAUGAUGAGCUUGGACUCUGGGGGUUUUGCUGGCUCACAGUCGGCUCCUCUAAAAUGAAUCAGCUUACCAGUGUUUGGUGGGUAUCAUGGGUGUGAUAACUAUCUACGCUUGUGGUUUUUCCACCAGGUAACCUUCAGCAGUGGAGGUUCGCUGGAGCUCAUAGAUGUCUCUCCUCAGUGAGGACAGCCCUUUGAAUGUUUGAUCUCAAAUCAGGUAGGACUACCCGCUGAACUUAAGCAUAUCAAUAAGCGGAGGA